rnacentral:lncRNA from 1 species
UUGUGCCAACAAACCAUUAAUCCGCGGUACCGGAUGAGGAAGGAAAACAUCUUCAGAAUGUACGAUGCAUCUCCCAUAUGCAUCAAAAUCCGAAUAAUAUGAACCACUUCCCUUAGGUUGAAGACGCGAUUUGGUUCAGGAGAAGCUGAUUCCAAAGCCCCAACUACCUUUUCAGCAUCUUCGAGGAUCGUUUUGAGCUUACCC